rnacentral:rRNA from 1 species
AGUGAACGCUGGCGGUAGGCCUAACACAUGCAAGUCGAACGGCAACACGAUGAGGUUUUGCUCUUACCGGUGGCGUGGGGCGGGGGUGUGAAAAAUACAUCACACUCCACUAUGUCGGGGGGGAUCUCGUGGAAACGGUAACGAUAACAGCACAUACUCGCAACGGCAGAGAGCAGGAGCUCAUGGCAGCUUGCCAGCUGCGUUGAGCCGAUGCCGGAUUAGCUAGGUGGGGGGGUAAGGGCACACCAAGGCGACGAUCCGUAGCUGGUCUGAGAGGAUGAUCAGCCACACUGGAACUGAGACACGGUCCAGACUCCUACGGGAGGCAGCAGUGGGGAAUAUUGCACAAUGGGCGCAAGCCUGAUGCAGCCAUGCCGCGUGUGUGAAGAAGGCCUUCGGGUUGUAAAGCACUUUUAUUGGGGAAGAAGAGAGGCAUGUUAAUACCUGUCCGUAUUGACGGUACCCAAAGAAGAAGCACCGGCUAACUUCGUG